UACGAAGGGGGCUAGCGUUGCUCGGAAUCACUGGGCGUAAAGCGCACGUAGGCGGCUUUCUAAGUCAGGGGUGAAAUCCUGGAGCUCAACUCCAGAACUGCCUUUGAUACUGGAAAGCUUGAGUCCGGGAGAGGUGAGUGGAACUGCGAGUGUAGAGGUGAAAUUCGUAGAUAUUCGCAAGAACACCAGUGGCGAAGGCGGCUCACUGGCCCGGUACUGACGCUGAGGCACGAAAGCGUGGGGAGCAAACGGG
rnacentral:rRNA from 1 species